AGUGAACGCUGGCGGUAGGCCUAACACAUGCAAGUCGAACGGCAGCACAGGAGAGCUUGCUCUCUGGGUGGCGAGUGGCGGACGGGUGAGGAAUACAUCGGAAUCUACUCUGUCGUGGGGGAUAACGUAGGGAAACUUACGCUAAUACCGCAUACGACCUACGGGUGAAAGCAGGGGACCUUCGGGCCUUGCGCGAUUGAAUGAGCCGAUGUCGGAUUAGCUAGUUGGCGGGGUAAAGGCCCACCAAGGCGACGAUCCGUAGCUGGUCUGGGAGGAGGAUCAGCCACACUGGAACGGAGACACGGUCCAGACUCCUACGGGAGGCAGCAGUGGGGAAUAUUGGACAAUGGGCGAAAGCCUGAUCCAGCCAUACCGCGUGGGUGAAGAAGGCCUUCGGGUUGUAAAGCCCUUUUGUUGGGAAAGAAAUCCAGCUGGCUAAUACCCGGUUGGGAUGACGGUACCCAAAGAAUAAGCACCGGCUAACUUCGUGCCAGCCGCCGCUGUAA
rnacentral:rRNA from 1 species